UACGUAGGGUGCGAGCGUUAAUCGGAAUUACUGGGCGUAAAGCGUGCGCAGGCGGUUUUGUAAGCCAGAUGUGAAAUCCCCGGGCUUAACCUGGGAAUGGCAUUUGGGACUGCAAGGCUUGAGUGCGGCAGAGGAGACUGGAAUUCCGCGUGUAGCAGUGAAAUGCGUAGAGAUGCGGAGGAACACCGAUGGCGAAGGCAGCCCCCUGGGCUGACACUGACGCUCAGGCACGAAAGCGUGGGGAGCAAACAGG
rnacentral:rRNA from 1 species